UACGAGGGGGGCUAGCGUUGUUCGGAUUUACUGGGCGUAAAGCGCACGUAGGCGGAUUGUUAAGUCGGGGGUGAAAUCCUGGAGCUCAACUCCAGAACUGCCUUCGAUACUGGAAAGCUCGAGUCCGGGAGAGGUGAGUGGAACUGCGAGUGUAGAGGUGAAAUUCGUAGAUAUUCGCAAGAACACCAGUGGCGAAGGCGGCUCACUGGCCCGGUACUGACGCUGAGGUGCGAAAGCGUGGGGAGCAAACAGG
rnacentral:rRNA from 1 species